GACGAACGCUGGCGGCGUGCUUAACACAUGCAAGUCGAGCGGUAAGGCCCUUUCGGGGUACGACGAGCGGCGAACGGGUGAGUAACACGUGGGUGGACCUCGCCCUCCAGCUCUGGGAGUAAGCCUGGGAAACCGGGUACUAAUACCGGAUAUGACUCCAUGACGCAUGUUGGUGGGGUGGAAAGCCUUGUGCGGCUGAGGAUGGGCCCGCGGCCUAUCAGCUUGUUGGUGGGGUGAGGCCUACCAAGGCGACGACGGGUAGCCGGCCUGAGAGGGCGACCGGCCACACUGGGACUGAGACACGGCCCAGACUCCUACGGGAGGCAGCAGUGGGGAAUCUUGCGCAAUGGGCGAAAGCCUGACGCAGCGACGCCGCGUGAGGGAUGACGGCC
rnacentral:rRNA from 1 species